rnacentral:rRNA from 1 species
GUGCUCGAGUGGCGAACGGGUGAGUAACACGUGAGUAACCUGCCCUUGACUUUGGGAUAACUUCAGGAAACUGGGGCUAAUACCGGAUAGGAGCUCCUGCUGCAUGGUGGGGGUUGGAAAGUUUCGGCGGUUGGGGAUGGACUCGCGGCUUAUCAGCUUGUUGGUGGGGUAGUGGCUUACCAAGGCUUUGACGGGUAGCCGGCCUGAGAGGGUGACCGGCCACAUUGGGACUGAGAUACGGCCCAGACUCCUACGGGAGGCAGCAGUGGGGAAUAUUGCACAAUGGGCGGAAGCCUGAUGCAGCAACGCCGCGUGCGGGAUGACGGCCUUCGGGUUGUAAACCGCUUUCGCCUGUGACGAAGCGUGAGUGACGGUAAUGGGUAAAGAAGCACCGGCUAACUACGUGCCAGCAGCCGCGGUGAUACGUAGGGUGCGAGCGUUGUCCGGAUUUAUUGGGCGUAAAGGGCUCGUAGGUGGUUGAUCGCGUCGGAAGUGUAAUCUUGGGGCUUAACCCUGAGCGUGCUUUCGAUACGGGUUGACUUGAGGAAGGUAGGGGAGAAUGGAAUUCCUGGUGGAGCGGUGGAAUGCGCAGAUAUCAGGAGGAACACCAGUGGCGAAGGCGGUUCUCUGGGCCUUUCCUGACGCUGAGGAGCGAAAGCGUGGGGAGCGAACAGGCUUAGAUACCCUGGUAGUCCACGCUGUAAACGGUGGGUACUAGGUGUGGGGUCCAUUCCACGGGUUCCGCGCCGUAGCUAACGCUUUAAGUACCCCGCCUGGGGAG